rnacentral:lncRNA from 1 species
GCUUUUCGAAAAUCCGGUCUGGAUCAUCUUGAUAUUUACUUUGGCACUUAUUCUCUACUUCCGUACUUCCCGAUACAGGAACCACUGGAAGGGUCAAAAUGUACCCCAUGAGCAGUACGCCUUUCUUUUCGGACCGAUGCUCAGGCUCUUCAGAAAGCCCUUUCAUGAGCUGGACCAGGAACGCCACAAAAAGUACGGAAGAAUUUACGGCUUGUUUGAAAGUGGAAAGCCGUCGCUCUUCGUAGCAGAGCCUGAACUCGUCAAGCAAAUUCUGCUCAAGCACUUCCAUCUUCUUCCUCACCGACGUAUAGUUCAUUUCUUCGAGCCAUUAUUUGACAACAUGAUUAUUAAUGUUCACUAUCGACGAUGGAAAGUAAUAUGAAAGUACUACAACCAAGCGUUAGCAUGUGGGAGAAUGCGA